rnacentral:rRNA from 1 species
UACGUAGGUGGCAAGCGUUGCCCGGAUUUACUGGGCGUAAAGAGCGCGCAGGCGGUCGUUCAAGUCGCGUGUGAAAGCCCCCGGCUCAACUGGGGAGGGUCACGCGAUACUGAUCGACUCGAAGGCAGGAGAGGGAAGUGGAAUUCCCGGUGUAGUGGUGAAAUGCGUAGAUAUCGGGAGGAACACCAGUGGCGAAGGCGACUUCCUGGCCUGUUCUUGACGCUGAGGCGCGAAAGCCAGGGGAGCAAACGGG